rnacentral:lncRNA from 1 species
CGCUGCAUGAAUGAGAGGCGCGGUGCCGCCCCUCCCCCACCGGGCCCGCCCCUCGCCGGGGCCGCUGCGCGCAGUCCGCCGCUGCCACCUCAGCCGCGCUAGGUCCCGGCAGACGCCAGCCGCUAGCCUCCAGACGCUGACGGUCCUGCCACGCUCGCCGCCGCCGCCGCCGCCGCCGACGCCGCGGGCACGACAGAGGAUUCUAAGCUCCUGUAGAAAUGCUGGAAAACUAUUACCUUUUCUGGUAAUUAAGAAUUCACCAAUAAAGUCUUGGAAUUAAUAUACUCAACUCAGAACUCUAAAGGAUAGGAGGUAAUUAUCAAGCCUGGUGGAAGACCAUCUUGCCACUUCUCCGAGAGUAACUUGAACAGUGUCUAGAGACUGUGAACCUUCCCAGGGGUUCAGGGUUUGAAUUAGAGUCACUCAGCAAUUUUUAUGCUACAGUUCAGAAAAAGCGGUCCACAUGUAGGAGAAAUUUAGCGCCUUCUAAUACUCUUUUGUAUACUUGAAUUUUAGUUAUUAAGUUACCCUAUCUGUAUAUAGAACAAAUUCAAGUCCUUUAAUUUAAAAACAAAUUAGUCUUUCAUGACUGCUCCAUUAAACAGAGUUGUACUGAUUUCUACCUGGUACCCUGUGCUUUUCCAUGGAAAUGUAACUGUUUGUUGAUUUCUCUGGAUUUCUCUGGACAAAUGUGUUAAGUACAACUGACCUAUUGAGACUGUCACAGCCAAUUCUUCCUUUUAUUUAAAGUGACUCUUUUUUCCACCUUUAGGACCACUGUAGCUCUUUAUUUCAAGAUGUUUUGUUGGUUAUCACAUAGACCUAGCAAUUUUCAAGGCAAGUUUUUACUAUUCAAUGCUGUUCUCAGAAAUGCUGUGACAUUUUCAGAAUCAAAUAGGCCUUGAUUAAUUUUAAUUUAAAAGGAAGUUCUUUGUCACAGAUUGGAGAAGAAUGAAGAGACAUAACUAAAUGUGAUGUGGGAUCUUCGAUUGGAUCCUAGAAAAGAAAAAAGGACAUUAGUGAAAAAACUGGUGAAACUUGAGUGAAAACUACCCCACAUGAUUAUAAGGAUUAAAUUAGAUUUAUGUAUGUGAAUGCUAGUCAUAGAUCUAAAACGCUAUGCAAACUGUUUGUCUUGAUUAAUACCCUAGAGAAUUGUUUGAAGAAAAAAAGAUAUACCAGUUUGGGGGAUUGUAUGUUAGGCUAACUCUCCUGAGGUGGUUUUUCCUAGAUUACUUGUACUGCACUGAGUGCAGUCAAAAUCCAUAAUUAUGAUAUUUUGAAUAUUUUAUCAGUAACCAUCAGUUUGAACUUGAACCAAUAUGACUAAGAAACUCAAAGCCGUAAAUUUAAUUUAUAAUCUAUUUAAUAUAGAGAUUUUACAUGCCUAUUGGUUUGUUUGUUUUAACCUAUUGAAGCCAAUGUCUAACCCUUUUGCCUUGGAAUUCAUGACCCUAGGAAGAGAAUUUCAAAUAUGAAAGCCCCAAGUUUGUUAGUUUUCCUGAAAUUUAUUUUAUUUUAUUUAUUUUUUUUUUUUUGGUCUUUUUUUUUUUGCUAUUUCUUGGGCCACUCCCACGGCAUAUGGAGGUUCCCAGGCUAGGGGUCGAAUCGGAGCUGUAGCCACCGGCCUACGCCAGAGCCACAGCAACGCAGGAUCCGAGCCGCGUCUGCAACCUACACCACAGCUCACGGCAACGCCGGAUCCUUAACCCAAGGGUAGGGACCGAACCCACAACCUCAUGGUUCCUAGUCGGAUUCGUUAACCACUGCGCCACGAUGGGAACUCCAGUUUUCCUGAAAUUUAAAGUGAAAACCAUCAGUGGGAUCUGUGGAGGUUUUUGGGUUUUUUGUUUGUUUGUUUGUUUGUUUUGUCUUUUUGCCUUUUCUAGGGCCGCUCCCUCAGCAUAUGGAGGUUCCCAGGCUAGGGGUCUAAUCGGAGAUGUUUCUGCAGGCCUACCCCAGGGCCAUAGCAAUGUGGGAUCCAAGCCGUGUCUGCAACCUACACCACAGCUCACGGCAACACCGGAUCCUUAACCCACUGAACAAGGCCAGGGAUUGAACCCGCAACCUCAUGGUUUCUAGUCAGAUUCGUUAACCACUGAGCCACGGUGGGAACUCCUGUGGAGUUAUUUUUAAGAGAGACCCUAGAGAGAUACUGUCUCCAAUCUACAAUUAUGUGAGACCUAUAAGCUUGUAGUUUAUUUCUAAAAGUAAAUUAUUCUAUAAGAAACUAAAAACAAGGAGCUCAGUGAAUAUAUUUAAGUAAUGCUGCCAACUGUCUGUGAUGAAUUUUUUUUUUAAUUUUACACCUGAGAGAUGUAAAAUUGAUUCUAAGUCCAUAUAUCAGAUGGUUAAAUGUUCUGAUUCAAUAUUUGGUGAAGGGCUGCUCUGUGACUUCAACUGUAUCUUAAUUAUUCUUUCUGCUAUGUCUAUUGUCUAUUGAUUUACUCAUUUCACUAAUGCAACCUCACGGAAAUCAAUCAAGUUCAUUUUCAAAAAUCCCAAUCUAAAGCCAAGACCAGGCUAAGGGUCGAAUUGGCAGCUGCUGCCGGCCUACGCCACAGCCACAGAAACCCAGGAUCUGAGCCGUGUCUGCGACCUACACCACAGCUCACAGCAAUGCCAGAUCCUUAACCCACUGAGCAAGGCCAGGGAUCGAACCUGUAUCCACAUGAGUAGUAGUAUGUCACAUAUAUUGCUCUAUACCUUGGUUUUUACUCACUUAGUAAUAUUAUAAUGGAAACUGCCAAAUCACCACAUCCAUAGACUGAAUCUAUAGCAUUUUUUUUUAACAAUUGCAAAAUUAAAUUAUGGCAAUAUACUAUAAUUUAACCAGUGGCAUAUUUGGAUUGCUUCCAAGCUUUUGCUAUUACAAGCAGGGCUACAAAGAAGCACCCGGGACAUGUGUGUCUUUGAAUACGUAUGUAAGCACAUUUGAAAGAUAAAUUCCUAAAUGUGGAAUUGCUGAGUCAGUGGGUAAGUCUCUGCAUAAUUUUGCUAAGUUGCUAUCUUGGAGACACAAUAUUACUGAUUGACGGUUUCACUGAUAGUGUGUUGUUGAGAGAGUUUUCUCCCACUAAUGGGUAGUAACAACUUUAUGACAUAUUAGAUUACUACUUGAAUUUGGGCUACUCUUCAGUUUUCUUGUGUCUGCCCAGAUAGGCUUGUAACAAGAAAUUUCUUUCCUUUUGGUGCAUGUCCAUCAAGGGUCAGCUAGGGGCUCUGCUCCACAUCUUCUUACUCAAAAACUCAGGCUAACAGGGCUGCGUCCGUCUUAAACAUUGCCAAUAGUCCUGGCUAAGAAAAAGAGGGCUCUGGAGAGCCUUGCACCAUCAAUAAAUACUGUCCAGCCUGAAAGUGACA